UACAGAGGUCCCGAGCGUUGUUCGGAUUUAUUGGGCGUAAAGGGUGCGUAGGCGGCCAACUAAGUCCGACGUGAAAUCCCAAGGCUUAACCUUGGAACUGCGUCGGAUACUGGAUGGCUUGAAUUCGGGAGAGGGAUGCAGAAUUCCAGGUGUAGCGGUGAAAUGCGUAGAUAUCUGGAGGAAUACCGGUGGCGAAGGCGGCAUCCUGGACCGACAUUGACGCUGAGGAGCGAAAGCUAGGGGAGCAAACGGG
rnacentral:rRNA from 1 species